CAAUAGCGUAUAUUAAAGCUGUUGCGGUUAAAAAGCUCGUAGUUGGAUUUCUGUCAAGGACAACUGGUCCGCCCUCCGGGUGAGCACAUAGUUUGGUCUUGGCAUCUUGUUGGAAACUGUUGCUGCGCUUGGUUGUGUGGUGCAGCUUCCAGCACUUUCACUUUGAGGAAAUUGGAGUGUUUCAAGCAGGCACAUGCCUUUGGACACAGUAGCAUGGAAUAAUUAGAUUGGGCUUUUGCUCCAACUUGUCGGUUCCUGGAGCUGAGGUGAGAAUCAAUGGGGAUUGUUGGGGGCAUCCGAAUUUAGCCGUCAGAGGUGAAAUUCUUGGAUCUGCUAAAGACGGACAACUGCGAAANCGNNNGCCCAGGAUGUUUUCAUNGA
rnacentral:rRNA from 1 species